UACACACCGCCCGUCACACCAUGGGAGUUGGCUGCACCAGAAGUAGGUAGUCUAACCGUAAGGAGGGCGCUUACCACGGUGUGGUCAAUGACUGGGGUG
rnacentral:rRNA from 1 species